GUGGCCCAGAUUCUCUUAGAAUUUGCUAAAAGUUCCUAUGUAAACAAGCGAUGUUAAAUCUUCUCCCCCCAUGGAAAGCUUACUUUGGCGUGAUGCCACUGGCCUAACCCUGUGGGAUAUGAUUAGCAAAAAAUCCAAAGAAACUUGCUCUUUUCUUUGUGGGGGGGAUCUGCUGACAAGGCAGUCUGUGAUGUUCAGCACGGGUCCUGAGGACCCAGGGGGCAGAAAUUCCUCUCUGGCCUGACUCCCAGGCAUCACUGAUCUCCUCCUGGGAAACGGGUUUAUCUUUCGGACUCAGAAUCACGGGACGGAUUUCCCAGCUCGCUGGGGCCCACUCAGGAGCUGCUCUCUGGCCGAGAGGCAGGACUCUGCUGCACAGAACACUGUGGACGCUCACCUUACCCUGGUCUAACUUUUCCAAAAGCCCAAAGAUGCCUUCACAUUCCUUUCCCAUCUCAUUUUUUUUUUUUAGUAAGAUGGCUGCUCUCCCAGGCACUGGUAGCCUAGGGGCUGGCCGCCUGGCCAGGAGCAGAGUUCUCAUCGCUGACCGCUCAGCCAGCUCCCCACGACCCAACCAAGGGCCUGUUCUCAGCAUCCAGCAAAGCCUGCUCCAAACCCCCAGGCCCGUCCAGGGCAGCCGCCGCCCGGCCCCCCCACGCCCCCCACCCCUCGGUAAGGCCAGGCCGAGGCUCCACGACCGUCCGCUCUCCUCUUCGGAUGUUUUCAAUCACUGAUU
rnacentral:lncRNA from 1 species